GUUGGUAUAGUUUAAUGGUAGAACAGCUGUACAUUGUAUUGUAUAGUAUAUCCUAGUUCGAUUCUAGGUAGCUUCA
rnacentral:tRNA from 1 species